AUGUGGAGUACACCGACGAGGAAAAACCUCCACAGAUGGCGGCAGUCCUGCAGUUGUGCGUCAAGGAACUCUGCUUGGUGUACCACAUCGCAGUGGCCACAAAAUAGCCCAAGCGCCUCAAAGACUUCCUGCGGGAGAAGAAAUUGUACACAUUUGUUGGUUUCAGCAUUGGAGGUGACAAGCGGAUGCUGGAGGAGUCUGGUUUGGAAAUCAACCCCAACAACUUCAUCGACAUGCAACGCAAGUGGAAAGAUCCAAAGACCAACAAAUACUACGACUCCUUGGCCGAUGUUGCAGACGGCGUCAUCCACCCGUUCUACGAAGGCAUGA
rnacentral:rRNA from 1 species